rnacentral:lncRNA from 1 species
UUAUAAUAUAGAGAACCUCGGGUUGACUGAGCUUUGUAUUUUUUCAUCCAGAGAAUUUGUCAAGAUGUAGUUACGUGCUUAAGACCCGGGAGGAAAUGCCAAGACUGAUGAGCACAGAAAACAGAAAGAUAAUUGAAUUGGCCAUUUGGUGUUGCCUAAACAAAACUGGCAGUGAGCAGCGCUGUCUUCUGGGAACCCACGUCACACUGAGUGGAGUCAAGGUGAAUUUUCCCAAAAAGCCGAGGACACUCACAGCUAUGGAAUGAAAAUGUAACAGUACUGGCAGUGACUGCCACAGGGCUCUGGGGCACUGUGACCUAGCACUGCAGGAGAAGAGGGCACAUGGCUUUUAGGACUGGUUUACCAAGGCACAAGG